CUCCGGUGAUCCUGGCCGGACCCGACUGCUAUCAGAGUGGGACUAAGCCAUGCGAGUCAACAUAGCAAUAUGUGGCAUACGGCUCAGUAACACGUAGUCAACAUGCCCAGGGGACGUGGAUAACCUCGGGAAACUGAGGAUAAACCGCGAUAGGUCAUCACUUCUGGAAUGGGUAAUGACUUAAAUCUAUAUGGCCCCUGGAUUGGACUGCGGCCGAUCAGGCUGUUGGUGAGGUAAUGGCCCACCAAACCUGUAACCGGUACGGGCUCUGAGAGGAGGAGCCCGGAGAUGGGCACUGAGACAAGGGCCCAGGCCCUAUGGGGCGCAGCAGGCGCGAAACCUCUGCAAUAGGCGAAAGCUUGACAGGGUUACUCUGAGUGAUUUCCGUUAAGGAGAUCUUUUGGCACCUCUAAAAAUGGUGCAGAAUAAGGGGUGGGCAAGUCUGGUGUCAGCCGCCGCGGUAAUACCAGCACCCCGAGUGGUCGGGACGUUUAUUGGGCCUAAAGCAUCCGUAGCCGGUUCUACAAGUCUUCCGUUAAAUCCACCUGCUUAACAGAUGGGCUGCGGAAGAUACUAUAGAGCUAGGAGGCGGGAGAGGCAAGCGGUACUCGAUGGGUAGGGGUAAAAUCCGUUGAUCCAUUGAAGACCACCAGUGGCGAAGGCGGCUUGCCAGAACGCGCUCGACGGUGAGGGAUGAAAGCUGGGGGAGCAAACCGGAUUAGAUACCCGGGUAGUCCCAGCUGUAAACGAUGCAGACUCGGUGAUGAGUUGGCUUAUUGCUAACUCAGUGCCGCAGGGAAGCCGUUAAGUUUGCCGCCUGGGGCGUACGGUCGCAAGACUGAAACUUAAGGAAUUGGCGGGGGAGCA
rnacentral:rRNA from 1 species